GACGAACGCUGGCGGCGUGCUUAACACAUGCAAGUCGAGCGGUAAGGCCCUUUCGGGGGUACACGAGCGGCGAACGGGUGAGUAACACGUGGGUGACCUGCCCUUAGCUCUGGGAUAAGCCUGGGAAACUGGGUCUAAUACCGGAUAUGACCUCAUGACUCAUGUUGUGGGGUGGAAAGCCUUGUGCGGCUAGGGAUGGGCCCGCGGCCUAUCAGCUUGUGGUGGGGUAAUUGCCUACCAAGGCGACGACGGGUAGCCGGCCUGAGAGGGCGACCGGCCACACUGGGACUGAGACACGGCCCAGACU
rnacentral:rRNA from 1 species